UGACACACAAAUAAACAUGCAAACACCCAACAACUUUUUGUAUUGGAAUAGCAGAAUAAAUCAAUAAGAAAAAAGCUCAAUCAAGAAUCAAAUUGUAACUCAUUCCAACAUUUAAAAAAUCCCUAGCCAAAACACCUGCAACUGCUCUUUCCUUGCAUGUAUUUUUCCAUCACUACAUUAACAAGCCACUAAAAUGUCAACAACAAAGUGAAGCUGUCAUCAACACAGAAGCGAUGCAGACAGGAAACAGAACAAUCAAAAGUAAGUGGUAAGAAAUGCAGACCCAAAAUGGGAGCCAAAUAAUUUUCUUUCAUGAUGCCUGCAGAUUCAUUCAUACUCCUUGUGUUCUCCGUCAGGAUGGGAAACAGACGUUGCCAUGGAAAUCUGGCAAGCGCCCUGUGCUGGUCACAUCCUCUCUGUGGUGUCACGAAAUUCCAAAAACAUCUGAUCAUCCUUUGGGAUGUAGCAGAACCGGAGAUUCACAUCAUGGAUGUGCAGCUGAAAAAUCUGCAGCAACUGUGUGAUGCUAUCAUGUCAAUAUGGUCCAAAAUCUCGAAGGAAUAUUUCCAGUGCCUUGUUGAAUCUGUGCCACAAAGGAUUAAGGCAGUUCUGAAGGCAAAAGGGGUCCAACCCGAUACUAUGGACAGAAGCAAAGAUUUGAAUUGGUCAUUGAAUUGCAGCA
rnacentral:lncRNA from 1 species